ensembl:lncRNA
CAGCAAUAAUUACACUCCUUCUUUCUGAUAAACAGGUCUCCUUGUAUCGAAACCAGACCUGGUCAUCUUUUUGGAGCACGAGAAGGAGCUGUGGGGUGUGAAGAGACAGGAGACAGUAGCCUCACACCCAGAAAUCACCUACCGCCCUGACCAGAGUUUGCGCAGCCACCUGUAGACUGCCAAGAUGAAAGAAAAGAAAGUCCCGUGCAGACGCUUACUCUCUGUCAGUUGUCAGCAGGACUUCACAUCUUCAAAGUCACAGUUUCCAGGGAUGAAGCCCCGGAGAAGGAUUCACAGAUGUCACCACGAAGCCAGACGCCCCAGUGGUGGAAACAGAGAAUAUGGACGAGGCUGUGGCCACCGUGAGCGGGCUUCAGGUGGGCACGCACCACUUCCUCCUGAAGGGGACAGAUCAGCGGGGCCUGAGCAGCGCCAUCAUGGUCACCAUGGCCAGGGAGAGGGUGAGUGUAGAGCCUCAGAGCUGGAAAACGCUCUGCUUUUCAGCCUCAGGAGACUCUAAACAGGCCUUGAUUGUUCGGAAAUACUGGUGCUCCCUCAUUCCCAGCAGAUACUGAGCCUGAACCCAUGUCGGACACUUAACGGACUGAGCCAUCCAGGCGCCCCUAGUUAGGCCUCUCUAAUGUCAACCCAUAAUCUAUUUGAAUUGGAUAACAGAGGGGGAGGAGGUGGUCUGGAGGGCAGCUCCCUGAUUUCACCUAUUUGUUUAAGUGAAGUUUCUUUAGCCUGUAUGGGAAAUGUCCAAUUUUUCUUUCUAUAGUCAUUGGCUGUUGUUUCCGAAUUGCCCUUAUCCUUUAUGGGGGAGAGGCCAUCUAUCCUGUCCUUUUUCGUCUAUGUCGUUAGGAAUAUUAUUUUGGGAGUGACAGGGAAAGUACAAUCUUUCUCAGUUUUAGCCAAUCUACCUACUUCUAACUGGAGAUCCAAACCUUCCCAUAUGAAGUUACAUAGUGAAUGGAUAUUACCGGGAUUUUUUGGGCCCCUUAAGCUAAAAUACUGUUUUAUUUAAUCUCCUACCUUAUUCCAAGUCAAUGCAUUAACAGUUCCUUUCUCUGGGAAUCAUGGACAUCACUUUUGUACAAAACAUAAAAAACAUGCAACUUGCUGGGGCGGUAUCUUGACCCCUUCUUUGAAAGCAGGCUUUGAGUCACGUCUAUAGAGUCUGCUUUCUUUAGAUUCCUAUGGCCCAUAGCUUCUCAAGUUCUGAUCCUAUGGACCACUGUAACCUUGCCUACCUCUACAGAGGGGUUUGCAGCCCCCUAUGGUGGAGUCCUAACUGUCCCGAAAAAUCAAAGGAGAAAGGGAAAGGGCUUACCUUCAGCUCCAUGUUUGGGUGCCACUUGUCAGAGUCCAGCUCCAGCAAGUCCAGAGAUUCCUGAUGGAUGGCUGGUGUCAGCGAGAGACAGAGACAGAGAGAGAGAGAGAGAGAGAGAGAGAGAGAGAGAGAGAGCGCGCCUCCAGUUUCUUUCUGAUAACCAGACGGCAUCUCUGCACUGACCUGAGAGCCAUCUUUAUUUAUGGAAAAAAAAAUGUAUGGUGCCAGGAUAGAAGUGGCAUUUGCCUUAGACAACGAUUUCUGAUGACAAAUUCUUUGGCAUGUAAAAAAUUCCCAGAACAUAGAUUGGUAGAAGACUGAUGCAGAUGUCUGAUCAGUAGAUAUUGAUGUAGGUGAGUUGGAUGUUUAUAAUAUGGGGAAUGAAGAAUUCAAACACAAGGCAAUGUUUUGUUAAUCCUCCCUUUCGGGGGUGCAUCACCGAGAAUAGAAUCCACAAGAAACUGGAGUUGAUUACUUGGGUUUUAUUUUAGUUUGGCCCCUUCUGAGCUCUUGAGAGUCCCUGGAAGAGAGCCCCGCCAAGCCAGAGCUCAGGGUUAUAAAGGGUUUUGGCAAGACAAAAUAAGUGAUUCUGUUACUAACUAAUUACAAUUACAGCAUUUCAUUAUAGCCAAUUAUAUUACAACACACAACCAUUAGCUGUUGGCUGAUCCUAUUAUUUUAAAGUUCUUUAUCUCUUAAAAUGACCAAUCAUAGUUAGAAAGCGACAUACCCCGGGGCAGUAACUAGGUGACUUUCACCUGUUGACCUUGCCUUGGCCAGGUCUUAGUAAAGGGGUGGGGUUGCUUAACAGCAUCUUAAACAAGUUAGCCUUUAGGUUACAUCAAUAGUUGCACCUUAGUGGCUUUGCAGAGCCUGUUGUAGGAUAGCAAACUGAGUAAAAUAUGGAAAAUCAUUUAAAAAAAUUUUUUUAAUGUUUUAUUUAUUUUUUAUACAGAGAGAGACAGAGCAUGAGAGGGGGCAGAGAGAGAAGGAGACACAGAACCGGAAGCAGGCUCCCGGUUCUCAGCUAGCUGUCAGCACAGAGCCAGACAUGGGGCUUGAACCCACGAACGUGAGAUCUGACCUGAGCUGAAGUCGGAGGCUUAACCGACUGAGCUACCCAGGCGCCCCAGAAUUGAAAAUCAUUAACUUGCUGUUUUGGCUUCUGUAAAUUGCUUUGCAAAUGUUUCUCUCUGUUCACUGUUCAACUAUGUGGUGUGGUGACCACUACGUGGCUCUCUGUUGAAAUUAUUGGAAUGUGCUAACCUAGCCUAUUAAUUUGCCUGCUUUCUAAACAGACAACUUAGGUCAUAAUUUGCAUGCCCGCCCCCCUGUUUGAAGCUGAGGAGACAAAGCAUACAUGUGGAAAGUCACCUAUUCACUAUCUCACAGAACCUGGAGUGCCUAACUACAAUUGGUCAUUUCAAAACCCUCUUAAGUCAAAGAACUUUAAAACUGAUAGGGUCCCGCCAGAACUACUGUCUGUUUGUUAAAAUGUGACUGGAUAUCCUGCAAUGCUGCAAACUUAUUUGGUUAACUAAAUGAUGAUGUUUGCAGCCUUGCUAAAGUCAAUAUAAGCUCACUGCUACCUUUGUUGGGGGCCAUUCUCUGCUCCUUAACCAGGGAGAUCAGGUUUGGCUCGGCGGUAAAUAAAAUCUUGCCUCGCUUCUGUUGGGUGUUUGGUGGUCUUUAUCAUCACCCUGUUACAAGCCCAAUCGCUCAACCUUUAAUUAUUAACCAAGGUUGGAGAGUAAAACAAUGUGUUUUUGGUUUGGUUUUUUUUUUUUCACCAUAAGGGUCAAUCUGACCCAAGGGGGUCUUACACUUUUUAGCAUAGCAAAGGCAGAAGUUGGUUUUUGUGAGCAGGGUCAAUAGCUUGUUUUCUUGAGCGGAAGAAAAAUAGAUUUCUCAGGAAAUAUAAUACUUGAUUCCAUAAACACAAAAGAAGAAAUUCCUAUAAUAAGUUCCUUCACAAGGUACAAUUAGCAUAUUUUAAGAUAAGAGGACAAGUCACUCCGAUACCAGUCAGCCAGGUGCCUUGGGGGUUUGUGCUCCAGCAAAAAUAAUUGAGUGGGGCAUAGACAUCUAUCCCAUCUGGCGGCGGGACGCCUUGCAAUCCCGCCUUACCUCACAAGGAGUUUCCUCAUCUUUGGAGUUCAGAAUGGCUUCUUACACUAGGUCCCCUGUAGCUGGGAGGUGGCCCCGCGGGGACCCAAGUUCCAG